AAGGGAGACCUAAUUCAGGUAGGAGACGAAAAAAAAGUAGUCCCUACCAAGAAUCAAUCCCAAAAGGUCGGAACGAGGUAUGAGGCUUUCAAACUAGGUUCUGGGUUCAUAAAAGACCUGAAUCAGGGACAAGGGCUAUUAGCUCAGGUGGUUAGAGCGCACCCCUGAUAAGGGUGAGGUCCCUGGUUCGAGUCCAGGAUGGCCCACCUGCACAGGUGGCAAAAACAAGAGAAGCGAGGAAUCAGCACCUUAUCUUAUCUAUAUAUAUAUAGGAGAGAAUGCUGGCUCUGAGUAAAGAGUCCAGAGGAACCUUGAAAACUGCAUAGAGCUAGGUGAAAAAGCCAAAAAAGAAGACCGCAAGGUCAAGCUAAUAAGGGCUAACGGUGGAUACCUAGGCAC
rnacentral:tRNA from 1 species